AUAGUGAGGUCAACGUUUGCCUUUUUCUUUCUGAAAGAAAACAGAUACACGGAGAGUUCUCUUGUGAGCAGGGGGUGGCCUGCACUGCUUCAUCCUCAGCUCAAAAAAAGUUCAUUACUUCAGGGCUGGGUGGCAGGUUUGGGCUCUGCUGAAUCACACAGCCCGAGAUGGAGAAAUUUUGCCCAUUCUUGGAUUACGGCAGAGAUUCUGGGUGAAUUCAGAACCCGUGGUGAAAAUGGAGGGAAUGUGGGGAAUGCACAGCCAGCACCAUCCUCUCCUGUGCUCCCACAGCGAGGGGACGCCCAGUGCCAGCGUGGCAUUCCUCAGCCUUCCCUGCGGCUGCCGAGACCCUCUUUCCUGGCGGGAUGGGAUUUCUCCCAGGAGCAGGACAGAGCUGCAGGGCACAGGACUGCAGGCAAAAGGCCAUUUCCGUGUCACCAGAGGGAUGUGGCACUUGCUUAAGGCAGCAGAAGGAGGGUCGGGCUGCGCUGUGCAGGGAGAGCUCUCGUUCCUGCGCUGGGAUGGUGCCCAUGGUCCUGCAGGCUCCCAGGCUGAGCCACAGCGGGGCUGGAGGAUUUCACUCCCUUAUCCCCCUUUUCUUUUUCCUCAUUCUCUGAAAGCUUUUCCCGCAGCUUCACUGUGACCACCUCUUGCAAACUGGAGGCAGUUGGGGGAUUUUUUUAAUGCUUUUCUUCAAAAACCCAGAGCCAGCUCAUGGGGCAGUCUGUAUCCCUAUCCACUCACCCCACUGCAGCCUACCCCCCAUGCACCCCCUUCUCCCAUGCCAUAACCUUCCCCCCGAUUUUUUUUGCCAACCAGGAGGCUGCAGGACCCCAAAAUCCCCCCUCACCCUGCUGCAUCUCAGCUCGGUCUCCACCCUGCCGGCCCGGGGUCCCCCGGGUCCCCCCCUUACCUGCGGGGUCGGGACACGGCUUUGCUCGGCUCCCUGUGCACCUCCCGGUCCUGCGGAGGGGGUAUAUAAGGGGCCGGGGAGAAACUUCUGGAAACUUGGGAAAACCCUCUCAAAAAUGCUGGGGAGGGAGAGGAAGGGGAGGAUCCGUCCCGGCUCUCUCCCGGCCCGCCGCCAAUGGCAGGGAAUGCCGGCCCCGCGCCGCCGAAGGGGGGUCGGGAUGGAUGGGGGAUGCGCCUUCCCUCCUCCUGCCCUGCCUGAGCCCAGCCCGGCCUCCUGCAGGAACGUGGGGAGCUAUUCCCUGCCCAAACUCUGCUUUUGCCUUCUUACAGGGCUCGGGUCUGUCUUUAUUUCCAUCCUCUCCCUGCCCCUGGCAUCUCCUGCAGCUGGAUGGCUGUUGGCACCAAAGGCAGCAGGUGUGCUGGAGGAGGAAAAGGAAGAUGGGAAGACCUGAUUGCCUUGGAGCAAAUUCAUCAUCCAGGUAUGUCACAGUGCACAAACCAGGGAGGACAGGCUACAGAGGCUGCAGCUGCAGCUUUCCCACAGGGCACAGCAGAGAGAGAUUUCCUUGAUCCCAGUUUGUAAUCCCUGUUUAAUACUCCCAGAGAAAAGUUCAAAAUCCACAGGGUUUCCUGCCAACACAGCGAGGCAGGGGGAUGAAAUUCC
rnacentral:lncRNA from 14 species